AGCAAUACUCAUUGGAGGCUGUUCAUAGUAUGUCUGUAAUUCUGGUGCCAGUGUUGGUGGGAUCUUCACUUUGUUGGGAGAAGAGAGUUCAGGAGAAGCAGGGUGAGAUGGGUGCACCUCCUCUCAGGAGAGCCCACAGAAAGAAACUGGCAGCAAAUCUGCAGUGACCAGCCAGAGCAGCAGCCUGGGAUAAGACAGCAUCCAGCCCCAAGGACUCUGGGAAAACAGGGUGGCCACAAUUCCCGUGUACGCGUCAGGGGUGGAAGCAGACAUCAUUUGUUGGCAAAGAUCAGUGCAAGGCCAUGGAGAUGGUGAGUGGGUCUGGUGCACCUCAUGGAGAGAGGAGAGGUGGAAGGAAUCAGGCUUUGCUAGCAUGGAGAAGGGAUGUCUCAGGGAAGCCCUA